AAUAGUUAUAAUCAACAAAGUUCGCAGUUAAACAAAAUACUUAAAGAUUGCUUCUUUAACGGACAAAAAUGAUUUUUGCAUAUCGUAGAAACCAUGUUAGUUCAAAGUAUUAGAUAAACGUAUAACAAUAAGUUAUUCUUUUAAUUUAACAGUCGAUCUUUAUUUUCUGGAUAUAUUUAAAGGAAUUCAUAUUGCUUUAAGUACAAAAAUAAUGGAGAAAAAUAAGUGUUUUUAACAUAGAAUCUUUUCAGGAUUUAUUAAUGUCAGUCUCGCAAAGUUAUUUCUUACUAACAUAGAGAAACUUUCUCAAAAACUGUCGUAACUAUAAGACUUUGAUUACUUGUGUAUUAGUGCUAAUAGAUAGUAAUAUCACAAAUUUAGAGAAAAGCCAAACAUAAUUGCGGUCUACUGUUACCUAUUAGCCGUUUAUAUUAUUAUUUGUGUGCGCUGAAUACACUCGUUCUUUGUUAUACGGUUUUAGAGUUGGGAAGUUAAUAUCAAAAUGGUUUUGGAUUAAUAAAGUGAUUGUAUCAUUAGUUUUCGCAUAAAGGUAUAACCGCGUUUCUAGAAAACCUGCCUUGGAUUAUAUACGCUAUCAAACGACAACUGUUGGAUGUUUUUGUGUUGUAAGAUAAAAAAAAAUCUUCUUCGAUUAAUGUCAGAUAGAUUUGCAGGAUGGUUAUGUUUGAAUGUGUAAAAACUACUGAGUGAGACUUCUAGGUAUUCCUACGCUGUAAAUAGGUUAGUUCUAUGCAAUACCUGGUGGAAUACAUACAACUGUGUUAUAUUUCUCUCUAUUAAUCUGCAUAACUUUUGUGAUUGGAUGAUAACAUUUCCAUUGUUCUCACUAGAGAGGACUAAACAAGAUUUGAACUGGAAUCAAUACAUUCUUAUUAGGAAAAAAGUCGAUUGGAAAGAGGCUAAGACAGUUUAAAUGAAAUCAAAGGAAAAUACAUAGAUUUAUUAAAACUUGGAUUACGCUAGAAUAUAGCUGCAGGAGAAAGGGAAACAAGUUUGAGGUGGAAUUUUAAAACAGCUCAAGGAAUCCGUCCACUAUGG